rnacentral:precursor_RNA from 12 species
UUAAUUUACAAGUAAAGCCGGUGGCUGGGAAGGCAAGAUGUCGGCAUAGCUGAUUGAUAUAAUAUACGGCUGUGUCACAUCGAGCCAGCUCAAUCCGCCGGCGUUCGACGUGAGAAGAA